UACAGAGGGUGCAAGCGUUAAUCGGAAUUACUGGGCGUAAAGUGUGCGCAGGCGGCUGAGCAAGUCGAGUGUGAAAGCCCCGGGCUUAACUUGGGAAUUGCGCUCGAAACUACUUGGCUGGAGUGUGGCAGAGGAAGGUGGAAUUCCACGUGUAGCGGUGAAAUGCGUAGAGAUGUGGAGGAACACCAAUGGCGAAGGCAGCCUUCUGGGCCAACACUGACGCUCAUGCACGAAAGCGUGGGGAGCAAACAGG
rnacentral:rRNA from 1 species